CCUACGGGUGGCUGCAGUGAGGAAUAUUGGUCAAUGGGCGGGAGCCUGAACCAGCCAAGUCGCGUGAGGGAUGAAGGUACAAUGGAUCGUAAACCUCUUUUGUCAGGGAAUAAAGGGCGGGACGUGUCCCGGUUUGUAUGUACCUUAUGAAUAAGGAUCGGCUAACUCCGUGCCAGCAGCCGCGGUAAUACGGAGGAUCCGAGCGUUAUCCGGAUUUAUUGGGUUUAAAGGGUGCGUAGGCGGCCUUUUAAGUCAGCGGUGAAAGUCUGUGGCUCAACCACAGAAUUGCCGUUGAAACUGGCAGGCUGGAGUAGGGUAGAGGUAGGCGGAAUGCGUGGUGUAGCGGUGAAAUGCUUAGAUAUCACGCAGAACCCCGAUUGCGAAGGCAGCGUACCAACUCAAGACUGACGCUGAUGCACGAAAGCGUGGGGAUCAAACAGGAUUAGAUACCCGUGUAGUC
rnacentral:rRNA from 1 species